GGACUACAAGGGUUUCUAAUCCUGUUUGCUACCCACGCUUUCGCAUCUCAGCGUCAAUUACUGUCCAGCAAGCUGCCUUCGCCAUUGGUGUUCCUCCAUAUAUCUACGCAUUCCACCGCUACACAUGGAAUUCCACUUGCCCCUCCAGUAUUCUAGUUUACCAGUAUCCAAUGCAAUUUAGUGGUUGAGCCACUAGCUUUCACACCAGACUUAAUAAACCGCCUACAUGCUCUUUACGCCCAAUAAUUCCGGAUAACGCUCGGGACCUACGUAUUACCGCGGCUGCUGGCACGUAGUUAGCCGUCCCUUUCUGGUAAGGUACCGUCAGAUACAUAUCAUUUCCUAUAUGUAGUUUUCUUCCCUUACAACAGAGGUUUACGAUCCGAAAACCUUCAUCCCU
rnacentral:misc_RNA from 1 species